CCAAAUCUCAUUCUGUCCAUCUUCUUUUGGAGGAAGAUUUGAUAUUAGAAAAACUUCCGAAAUUGCGAAGACAAGGCUACAGCUACAGUUCACCGCCUCAUUUAAAUAUGCUAGAGGACAAAGAACGUCAGCGGGCUACUAAAAAAGACAGCCAGCAGGAGAUUUUCCCCUCUGCAAAAUGGCCGGAACCCCUCCAGAGGACACACAAGUCUACAAUUGAAAGGCUAAAAAGUAGUUCUAGGGAAGAAGAUAAUGCCAUUUUUACAGAAAAAUCUGAAGUAGACAUGUUUUUUCCUUUAAAGCCUGUGUGCCACAGGAGGGCAUUUAACCUGAACAACUGCCAGUCAGACAUAAGUGGUGGUGUACAAAAAGACAGGAAAAGACUUGAGUACCAUUUUUGUAGUACAUCUCAAAGCAAACAGCCAUAUGAGAUGAGACAGGAGAAAAAUUAUCAGGGUAAGUUACAGCCCUUUGAUACAGAAACCACUGGUACAUUAUUUAACAGGCAUCAGACUUUACAUGAGGACCAGCAAAGACUUCAAGAAAAUCAGAAGAGGUUGACUAAAGAAAUACGCAUAAGGGAGAUUGUAUUACAUGAAAAGCUGGUAAAGGCAGAGCAACAACUAAGAAAAGUUCAACUAAGGACUCUCUCUGAGGACAGGCUUAAACGUGAAGAGAUGCAUAAGAGCAUGCAUACAGGGAAGGCAGAAAGCCGGUUAUAUUAUAAUGAAAAAGUAAACUGGAACUGGGAGCGUACCCGGGAAUUGGCUCUUAAAGGUCAAAGAGAUGGACACAAUGAAAAAAGCAGAGACAGGGUGAGGGGCAACAAAAAUAGUCCAGAAAUAUUGGAGAGUUGCCCAAGAGAGAUGAAUUUAUAUAAAAAAGAAAAAAGCAGAGAAGGAAGAGAGUGGGUAAACAGAGGGAGAAAUACUGAAGUAACCACAAACUAUAAGACUCAAGAAAGGAAACAAUCCAGUGAUGAAGAGAUCACAAGGCAGAAACUAGAAAUGUCGAGAACUGAGAAAGAUAAAAUAAGGAGAGAAAGAUCAGUAAACUGGGAGAUAAAAGAACCAAACCAGAGAGGUUGGAAGAUGGAGAUACUAAAUGAUAGAGAAAAGAGGCGAGGUGAACAAGCAAUGGCUAGAACAAACAUAGAGACAGAUGAUGGUGAGAAGCGAUGGAACAUACUAGACAAGCUAAAGUCAAAUUUAAAUGGUAAAUCUAAAGCACCCCUCAGACAUGACCAAAUGAAUGGGAUAGCAGCCGACCAGUGGCCGACCCUAGAAAGACUGCAUCAAUCCAGAAUCAAGGCUGUAGUGGAGACCACCAAUAAUAAGUUGCCUACAGAGUCACUCACUGAAGUAACUCCACACACUCCUCCCACCAACCAGAAGGGUAAACGGCUCCAACAGGUGGAACUCAGUCCAGAGAGAAGCCCUGAUGCUGAUGGCCUGCUUGUACCCUGUGGCUUAUGUCAUAGGCGCUUUGCCGAAGAUCGUCUUGAGAGACAUAGCAGGGUUUGUAAGAAAAUGCAGCUUUCUACAAGGAAAGUCUUUGACUCUUCUAAAUACAGAGCUAAAGGAACCGACCUGGAGGAGUUUACGAAAGCGAAUGGUCGAUCGAAAACACCAGAGCUCAAGAAGAAUAACUGGCGCCAGAAACACGAAGCCCUCAUCCGGAACAUGCGCCAGGCUCGUGCUCCAGUACCUGGAAGAUUUCAGCCUCAAACUAAUGCAGAUCUGAAUCCUGAUUACAUAACCUGUCCUUACUGUGGCAGACGCUUUGCUCCUGGUCCAGCUGAGAGACACAUUCCAAAAUGCCAGAACAUUAAGAGCAGACCUCCGCCUCUUAAGCACCGCUAAUUAACAGACACAGCCUACUGUAAGGCAGUUAAUGUUUUGCAAUACAAAUCUGAUGCAGUGUAGUCAAUUUGUCUUCCACUGCUGGGGAUCCCUGAUUGCAUUCGAGGAGGGUAUAUUGCUGCUCAUGCUCAUCCCAGCGGACCCCUUCUUUUCACCCAUGCUUUCUGCACAGGUGCCUCUAUCUGCUAACCAGGGUCCUUACACAGCGUUUGAACACCCCACCACUUAGUCAGGUCAUCCAACCCAGCAGAUAUGGUAGCCAAUUAUUGUCUGCUGCAGGCACUGCCAAUUGUGCCCGCUAGAUGGUGCCCAGCCAACCGGUGGCAGAGCAGAGAUUCGAACCAAGGUGUUUAGAAUCUCGGCACUGAUGUGCUAGCGGAAUAUCCGGCUAUGCCACCUGGGCACCAUAAUGAUCAAAACAUUCUUAAAUAAAUUUAGCAGUAUGUAUGGGGGGCAUUAUCAUGACAGAGUGCUUGCACCGAAGGGUGCACCGAUGCUUAGCAGUUAGCAGCAGACAAUAUAGGUUAAAAAGAUCAUUUGGACUUAAAGAUUCCAAUUUUUUAUUGUUCUGGAGACCCAGCGUACACGUUCCUUACACCAAGUUAUACAUCUUUCCAAACUGGUCUUUUAAAUAAAAGUUCAAACGAUUUAACAAAUUAUAUCUUUUAGUUUUUCUUGCAUUUUAAGUUGUGUCUAAACUUUUUUUAGUAAUGAGAUUUAUACAUAUACACUGCCAUGUUUGCUAUGUUACACUGUUUAAUUAUCAAAAUGAAUAAAGCCUAAAGAAUUA